rnacentral:lncRNA from 1 species
CGUUGUUAUAUUCGAGAGUUGGUUGUUGUGGUUACAGCUUGUGUUAAUGGAAGGGGGUAAACAGUCCAUCUAACUAUAUAUUUCAUAGUUGAGUUUUUUAUUUGGGUUAUAUUUGUAGUUUGUAGUUAGUUUUGGUAGAAGUGUAUUUUCUUUUACAUAUUUCUGGAUAUAGUGUCCGAGAUUUUAUUGAGUUGGCUGGUGCUUUUGUUUAAUGUUGCAAUUUUUCAUGAAAGUUAUUUAGCCAUGGUUGGCAAUUUGACAAUAAUAUUGAUGUGAAGCCUGGAUCGAAGUAGUCCAACACGUUGAUGGAAUUGAUUUAAGAGAGAAGAUAACAAAAGUUCCUCAACUGAACUAACGUUUAGGUACCAUGAGAACAUAGACUUAUGUGCUAUUGGCUCUAUUUUUUAAAAAA